CGGCGGACGGGUGAGUAAUGCCUAGGAAUCUGCCUGGUAGUGGGGGACAACGUUUCGAAAGGAACGCUAAUACCGCAUACGUCCUACGGGAGAAAGCAGGGGACCUUCGGGCCUUGCGCUAUCAGAUGAGCCUAGGUCGGAUUAGCUAGUUGGUGGGGUAAUGGCUCACCAAGGCGACGAUCCGUAACUGGUCUGAGAGGAUGAUCAGCCACACUGGAACUGAGACACGGUCCAGACUCCUACGGGAGGCAGCAGCC
rnacentral:rRNA from 1 species